rnacentral:rRNA from 1 species
UUUGAGAGUUUGAUCCUGGCUCAGGACUAAUGCUGACGGUGUGCAUAAUACAUGCAAGUCGAACGUGCAAUAUGAAAGUAGCAAUACUUUUAUAAAGCAAGUGGCGAACGGGUGAGUAACGCGUGGAUAAUCUGCCUUAAAGACUGGAAUAACUCUCCGAAAGGAGUGCUAAUACCAGAUGUUUUAUAGUUUUCCAUGAUAAUUAUAAUAAAGGUAGCCGCAAGGCUUCUGCUUUAAGAUGAGUCCGCGUCCUAUUAGCUUGUUGGUGGGGUAAUGGCCUACCAAGGCUAUGAUGGGUAGCCGGUCUGAGAGGAUGAACGGCCACACUGGGACUGAGAUACGGCCCAGACUCCUACGGGAGGCAGCAGUAGGGAAUAUUGCGCAAUGGGCGAAAGCCUGACGCAGCGACACCGUGUGUAGGAUGAAGGUCUUCGGAUUGUAAACUACUGUCAGUUGAAGACGAAGGCAGUAGAGUUAAGAGCUCGAAUGCUGACGGUACUCAAUUAGGAAGUCUCGGCUAACUCCGUGCCAGCAGCCGCGGUAAGACGGAGGAGGCAAGCAUUGUCCGGAAUUAUUGGGCGUAAAGAACACGUAGGCGGUUUGUCAAGUCAUAUGUGAAAACCUUGGGCUUAACUUAAGGAUUGCAUGUGAUACUGGCAAACUAGAGUAUAGUAGAGGAAAGCGGAAUUCCUGGUGUAGCGGUGAAAUGCGCAGAUAUCAGGAAGAACACCAGUGGCGAAAGCGGCUUUCUGGACUGUUACUGACGCUGAGGUGUGAAAGCUAGGGGAGCGAACAGGAUUAGAUACCCUGGUAGUCCUAGCCGUAAACGAUGGACACUAGGUGGGGGGAGUUAUCGACGCUCUCUGUGCCGAAGCUAACGCAUUAAGUGUCCCGCCUGGGGAG